CACAUGAAAAGUCUUACGGAUAGACAAACUUCCAUUCAAGCCAAUGUCAAGUUUUCAUUGCAAGAAAGUAGCAGCCGUGUUUAAGAGUUCGCUCCAAAUGCUCAUCUUCUUCUUCGGCCCUGGAUGUCAGACAAACAGGACAAACAGGAAACAAAAUUAUUUUUCUUCGUGGAGGGCAGAGCAGCACUCCCCCGUCGCCCAGUAUUUGGAUCCCCAGCGGGAAUGGGGAGCACCAGGCCAGUGGGAGGCUGCCCCGGCCCUCCCGCGACCUCUGGAUUGAACUUUCCGCACACUUCUCGGCCCCUCGGCAGGUGGCCCAGCCUCGACCCGACCCCACUGCCCACUCACUGCUU
rnacentral:lncRNA from 1 species